AGUGAACGCUGGCGGUAGGCCUAACACAUGCAAGUCGAACGGCAGCACAGAGGAGCUUGCUCCUUGGGUGGCGAGUGGCGGACGGGUGAGGAGUACAUCGGAAUCUACUCUGUCGUGGGGGAUAACGUAGGGAAACUUACGCUAAUACCGCAUACGACCUACGGGUGAAAGCAGGGGACCUUCGGGCCUUGCGCGAUUGAAUGAGCCGAUGUCGGAUUAGCUAGUUGGCGGGGUAAAGGCCCACCAAGGCGACGAUCCGUAGCUGGUCUGAGAGGAUGAUCAGCCACACUGGAACUGAGACACGGUCCAGACUCCUACGGGAGGCAGCAGUGGGGAAUAUUGGACAAUGGGCGCAAGCCUGAUCCAGCCAUACCGCGUGGGUGAAGAAGGCCUUCGGGUUGUAAAGCCCUAUUGUUGGGAAAGAAAUCCAGCUGGCUAAUACCCGGUUGGGAUGACGGUACCCAAAGAAUAAGCACCGGCUAACUUCGUGCCAGCCGCCGCUGUAA
rnacentral:rRNA from 1 species